AUUGGAAUAUUGCAAAUCAUUAAAAACUUGCAUACAUGUAGCAUGACCUGUUGCUAUGGCUAGCUUUGCCAUAGCCUGUAUCACUGUAUGAGCCUGGCAUACGCAGGCUAGCUUUGCCACUCCUCCGCAGGCCUCUCUAUGGUACCUGCGGAGGAGGUUAAAUUAUAUUGUACAUACAAAAGGAAGAAAUUAUAAGCAUUGAAGGUAUUCUUAUAAAACCGCCCAUGUCAAGAAAGUAGAAUUAGAAUAUUUAGUUGACCUUCGACUUCGUGUGCAAGGUGUUUGAUAUUCAAAUUGCACUUUCAGAAUUUCCUACCUCCUGAACAGGUGUCUUAGGGGCUGUUUACAUGAUGGAAGAUUUACAUGAUGGAUGAUUUUGAUGUAUUGAAAUACGUCACUAGGAUAAAAAAAAGUUCAAAUACUGGUUAAAAGAACACAAAAGGAAAUUCUUGUAGUUGAAGAAGAUUAUUAUUGCUGCUUGAACAACCUUUCGUUUACAGUUAACUAUAUAAAUCUAUCUCUAGAAAAUAAUGUGGUUUUUUGCUCAAUCUUGCACCGUGACUUAUUUCAAUACAUCAAAAUGGUCUCGCCUCACAUCUCGUACUGCCAAAGUGGGAUGAUACAAACAGCCCUUUAUCACAGAAGGUCGACUAUUCAGCAAAAAAAGCGUAACCGCUGCCACGCCAUAAUUCAUCAUCAAAAUGCUGACGCCAUGGUCCUAGCCAGUGCGCUUAUGAGAGGCAUUCCCCCCCCCUCCCCAUGGACAUCCGCUAUUUUGAAUAUUAUCAGGGGGUGAAUGCCUCUCAUAAGUGCACAUGCUUGGGAGUGAGGCAGCACUCUUGUGAUAGUAACUUCUAGUAUUUACUCUAAAUUGAAGGAAGAGUACACAAUCCUUCGAAAAAUACUGUAACUAGUGCCGGGCUCCAACGCCGGAC